GCUCCGAUCAAGCAGUGCAACACCCGUUGGCAGCAUCUACUCCAGUUCGUCGACCGCCUCGACAGCCUCAGGCUCUUCCAACACAAGACGAAAUCCACGUGGCGAGAGAAGUACCUCUCGCAAAUAAGUCUACAACUCCGUCGCCGACAAGAUCUGAAAUGCUCCGAUCUGCGGCGAUCUAUUGUCCCAUAAAUCGGGAUCCGUUGUCGCAACGAGAAGAACUACGGGCCAUUAAUAGGGUGGGCCAUUUUAUUGGAUUGUCUCUUGUGGGUUAGAAUAUAAAAAAGAAGUACGAGAAAAUUUGUAUGAAAAAGGCAAAAAAUGCCAAGAAAUGGGCGGGGCCUAUUUUCGGACCUUCCUUAUAGUUAGCUUGUUUUAGAAGUUUUUAAAAAUAAAAUUUGGGAAUUUAAAAUAAUCUAUAUAAAUAUCCGGAUUUAUGGAUAAAUUUAUAUUAAUUUCAAAAAUAUUUUCCCUUCAUUUUACAACUCUACAGUUUUCCUCUCAUACUUUACAAAAUGACCGGAAGUGUUUUGAAAAAAUAUUUCAAAAAGGUGUCAUAAUGUGAGAGAUUACUGUUUUAUAAAUACUGAUAAAUAUGGAAUUACCUAGUCGUCAUUUACUCGUAGACGGAGGUAUUAUUACACUUGUAACACUGAUCAUCCCUUUUGUACACAAAUUACUUUUUCUCCCUUAAAAAAAAAGAAAAUUUGAAUUUCAGUCGACCAGCAAUACGGGUGCUUAUCACAACAACAAUAACAACAACAAUAGCAAAUUUGAGGGAGCCGGUGUGAGCAGAUAUAAUGAGAUUACG
rnacentral:sRNA from 1 species